AUUUAACCCAAUCUUAUAAUAAUUAACUAAUAAAAACACUUUAACAACUAAUAUUUCCCACAUUUACACCCUAAAAGUACUAAAAAGGAAAUUCAAAUAACUCAAAAUAGUUAUUAAUCAACGUACCUCGUGCAUUAUGGUUUUACAAGCACAUAAUUAAAUAUAAUACCCCGAAUACUACGCGAGCUGCUUCUUUAUAGCUAAGAGCCCACUACUAAUUAUAGCACCAACUUUAGAAAAUAAACUAGCAGAGGCUACAUACCACACGCGCUAGACAAUUGCUGGUUCUCAGUAAACCUUAUAAAUUAAACCAUGUAAUCAUUUACAAUGCUAGAUUUUAGAGGAUAAGCCCUAAGAUCUAAAGCUAAUAAACAUAAUUUUCAAUCAGUAGGCUCAAAAUCAGCCACCUUAAGUACUUUACCGUAAUACUCCCCGUAUAAAUAAUUGUCCUGCGCAAUAAAACUGAGAAUUUUGAAAAAUAUUCAUCCUUAAUAUAAUAUGUAAAAAUAAGUAUUAGACCAACCUAUAUCCCUCUACCCCAUAAAUACCCAUAAAGGGAACUCGGCA
rnacentral:rRNA from 1 species